AUGGCCGGCAUGAAAACCAUCGUUCUCCUUGCCGUGAUCUCGGCCGCCGCCUUGGGCACCGCGUCAGCGGCGACCCACCGCGUGGGCGAGCCGGGCGGCGCGUGGGACCUCACCACCGAUUACGGCAGCUGGGCGUCCUCCAGGGAGUUCCACCCGGGCGACGAGCUCAUCUUCAGGCACCAGCCAGGGGCGCACAACGUGCUCGAGGUCAGCGAGGUCGACUACGACUCCUGCAACGCCACCAGCCCCAUCACCACCUUGGGCUCCGGCUUUUUCACCUACGUCGCCCUUCCGGCCGUCGGCACCCGCUACUUCAUCUGCGGUUUCCCUGGCCACUGCACCACCACCGGCACCGGCGGCAUGAAGCUCAAGAUCGACGUCGUGCCAGGUUCCCCCUCGUCGUCGCCCGCCCCGGCCAUGCCGCCGCCCUCCUCCGCCGCGGCCUCUGCCGGGGCUACAAUAGGAUCUGGCCUUGUCGUCCUGCUGGCGGCCGGUCUCAUGGCUUGA
rnacentral:rRNA from 1 species